CAGAAAGUUAUCUACAGCCACACAUCCACUGUAUACCAAGUUAUGAUGAUCAAUUAUGAAAAUGCAAAAGGAUUGAUAGAUCAGUAAACAAGCAACAAAAAGAUGGGUGCUCAUGGUGGCCUCCAAAUAAAUACAUGGACAGGCUGCUAAAGAGGGUCAGGAUGAUGGAGAUGCAAGAGCCAAAGACAGCACAGACCAAACACCAGGCCAGAAUUCUGCAUGAGUCAGAUUGAGUAAUUUUCACUCUAGAGACCCUGGGGUGACCACCAAGGACGAAUGCAAACUCCAGUGAGUGUCUUUUAAGAGCUAUCCCCUGAGUUUCUUUGUCUUCCAGCUACAAAAGUCCCAAAGGCUCUUUAAAGAGCUAUUCCCUGAGGGUCUUUGCCUUCAUUAACUACAUACGGUCCCUUGGGGGAGCCAACCCAGGAGCUGCUGUACACAAAAUUUUGCGUAAAUUGGCCUCCACUGAAGUCCUGAGUGCCUACAGCAUGAAAGGGAGGAAGGG